AUCUAUGUGGAUAUUUGGCUGGUUAAACCGUUUGGUUUUCGACCACUAGGACCCGGGUUCGAUUCCCGCAUUGGACA